rnacentral:rRNA from 1 species
AGUGGCGGACGGGUGGGUAACGGCGUGGGUAACCUGCCCGUAUACUGGGGAUAGGCAGUUGGAAACGACUGAUAAUACCGCAUAAGCGCACAGUAUCGCAUGAUACGGUGUGAAAAACUCCGGUGGUAUAGGAUGGACCCGCGUCUGAUUAGCUAGUUGGUGAGGUAACGGACCACCAAAGCGACGAUCAGUAGCCGGCCUGAGAGGGCAAACGGCCACAUUGGGACUGAGACACGGCCCAAACUCCUACGGGAGGCAGCAGUGGGGAAUAUUGCACAAUGGAGGAAACUCUGAUGCAAGCGACGCCGCGUGAGUGAAGAAGUAUUUCGGUAUGUAAAGCUCUAUCAGCAGGAAAGAAAAUGACGGUACCUGACUAAGAAGCCCCGGCUAACUACGUGCCAGCAGCCGC